GAAGUGCGAGAAGUGUCAUGACUUGCAGAUUCCCGAGAGCUGACAAGAUUCUGAAUGCAAAUGGCGGCCGUAUCAAAACGGCCAUGUAUUGCAGAGUGUAGUUGUUCAUACUCAUCAUCCCCAAUCAUCUUCUCUCUCUCCGUUCUCUCUUCAUUGAGAGAAUGGUCAAGUGUGUUGAUGAUUGUGAUUGGGAUCUGCGCUUGCGAGAGAGACAUCAUACUCUCAUUAACGCGAGCGUGAAAUCAGGAGUCCUUUGUAUCUGACAUCUGUCAUAUACAAAAGGGAACUUCGAAACAAGGUCCACAUCUCUGUGUGAACCCUCUGAAUCAGAAGUUUGAUACUGAACUCCAAGUCCAACAAUUUAAACAGCCACCUCUGCGAUGCAGGAGAACCCGCUGAA
rnacentral:misc_RNA from 1 species